rnacentral:lncRNA from 1 species
AGACUCGUCGUGGCACCCCACGGCGGCCUCGACAUUUACACUACGUAGUAGACCGCAGCUAUAUGCAACUGUAGUGCGUAUGCACAGCGUUUGCUUUGUGCACAACAGGGCUUGGAGUGCCCGCUUGCGCUCAUAUGCUUCAGUUUGGCCACGCUACGUCGUGCGGACCUACUUUGUCCUGCUGGUACCAGCUUGACAGACGGAUAGCAGCCACAUCCAAUUUGCGCAUUUUGAAACGCUAUCAAUAGCUCAAUACGAAGUGAAGUCAGCCAAGGCAUCUAACCAGGAGCGGCCAGGAGUGAGCUUGCGCUGGAAAGCGUGCAUGUGGUCUGACCUCAAGCUUCGCGUAGUUCGAGACUAGAUGAGUGUUCAGAACUAGUCAAAAUUAGCAAGACUAGACUACUACAACUCCAAUAAGCAAGGUGGCCAAAGUUUAAUUCCUACGCGAGCGGCCACGGCUGAGCAUGAGCAGACAAUAGUCGGCUUCUUCCGGAAGUACGUAAUUCUUAUCGAAAUUCAAAAGCAUAUUUUCCCUUGCUUCAGCCUGUUUAUUAAACUGCAUCAAUAAAUAUACACGGUAGCAGUAGGAAGAAGCACACUGAUUCAAACACCCUUCUUGAUUGAUGUCAGCUACUGGCCAAUAGCAACCGCGUACGGGGAUCCUG